rfam:Gossypium hirsutum cultivar TM-1 chromosome 24, whole genome shotgun sequence
AACCCAUGGUGAGGACACCUUCUCAGGAAGUCCUUGUAUCUCUCUCAUGCAUCGUAGAGGGUUUCUAAAUCCAUCUGCACAAAAGGCGAGAUAUCAUUACAUAAUUU